GCGCAGCAGGCGCGAAACCUUUACCAUGCACGAAAGUGUGAUAAGGUUACCCGGAGUGCCCAGAGAAAAACUGUGGGCUGUUAUAGGUGUGUAGAUAACCCUAUGAGAAAGGAGAGGGCAAGGCUGGUGCCAGCCGCCGCGGUAAAACCAGCUCUUCAAGUGGUCGGGACUUUUAUGGGCUUAAAAGUGUCCGUAGCCUGUUUGGUAAGUUCCUGGUUAAAAUAUGGCAGCUUAAACUGUCACUUGGCUAGGAAUACUGCCUUAC
rnacentral:rRNA from 1 species